UGUCUUUUGCGUACUUCUUGUUUCCUUGGUGGGUUCGCCCACCACAAGGACAAACCAUAAACCUUUUGUAAUUGCAAUCAGCGUCAGUAACAAUAAUAAUAAUUACAACUUUCAACAACGGAUCUCUUGGUUCUGGCAUCGAUGAAGAACGCAGCGAAAU
rnacentral:misc_RNA from 1 species